GAUGAACGCUGGCGGCGUGCCUAAUACAUGCAAGUCGAGCGAACGGACGAGAAGCUUGCUUCUCUGAUGUUAGCGGCGGACGGGUGAGUAACACGUGGAUAACCUACCUAUAAGACUGGGAUAACUUCGGGAAACCGUAGCUAAUACCGGAUAAUAUUUUGAACCGCAUGGUUCAAAAGUGAAAGACGGUCUUGCUGUCACUUAUAGAUGGAUCCGCGCUGCAUUAGCUAGUUGGUAAGGUAACGGCUUACCAAGGCAACGAUGCAUAGCCGACCUGAGAGGGUGAUCGGCCACACUGGAACUGAGACACGGUCCAGACUCCUACGGGAGGCAGCAGUAGGGAAUCUUCCGCAAUGGGCGGAAGCCUGACGGAGCAACGCCGCGUGGGUGAUGAAGGUCUUCGGGUCGUAAAACUCUGUUAUUAGGGAAGAACAUAUGUGUAAGUAACUGUGCACAUCUUGACGGUACCUAAUCAGAAAGCCACGGCUAACUACGUG
rnacentral:rRNA from 1 species